GUCUACAGCCAUGCUACCCUGAACAAGCCCGAUCCCAUUUGAUCCUGGAAGCUAAGCAGGGUCAGAUCUGGUUAGUAUUUGGAUGGGAGACCAUCUAGGAAGACCAGGUGUCGUAGGUG
ensembl:rRNA 5S_rRNA 5S ribosomal RNA